ACUUAUAGCGGUGAACGCAGCGUCGGCCGUCGAUCAACAACUGACAA
rnacentral:lncRNA from 1 species